CAGGCCCCGCUCAAGUUCUGCGCAUGCUUCAAAAGGUGAACUCAGAGACAGAUGCGCAUGCGUUUAGGGUCUGUCUGUUUCUGACCUGAAAACUGUCGGAAUUGAUCAUUCGUCUGCAUCUGGCCCAGGGUUUGCAAAGGCAAGAUCAGCCACAGAUUGGUUCAUGAUUGCUGUUCAGAGAUUUUUGCCUGUGCGUCUGUACCAAGAAACUACUCGGGGCAUGCUGUAUAAUACAAGGAAGCUGAACUCAGUCAAUUAAAGACAAGGAGACUCAAGGAUGAAGCUGAAACUAACUCAUCAAAGUUGAAACUUAAAAGUACAUGCUACUUAUUUUGUGCAACCUCAGAAUCAAUGCUGUGACUGAGGCGACGCAGCAGACAAAAAUAGAAAAUGACAAGCGAACUUUUCUGAAGGGUUUCCACUGGGAAUCAUAUGCAAGUUAUUCUCUAGCAAAGUUUGAACAACCUCUGCCAUUCCUUCCAAUUUACAACAUGAUUUUUAAAUACUUUGCUGAAAAGACACUAAAGAUCUGCGACAUAUGGGUCAAUUUUCUUUGUUAAAAUCAAAUCAAACUGUGGUGUUAAAUUCUCUUCCCCAACUGACAGUGCAUUUUGUAUUAGUGCAAUUGCAAAAGAAGCUGCACAAAUACCUACUGAGCACUCCCACAGUCAGGUUAACAUUGAAACAUUUCUACUUUGGAUUUCCAUGAUUUGAAUGAAAGAAUGCAUAUCAUUCAGCUUAAUUUCUAGUUGACUGACCUUUUUCUACAUUUGUCAUGGAAGACUCUAUGGUAUCAGCUGCUCCCGCUACUCAGUGCUAAAAAUGAUAUAAAAUAAAUUACGAAGCUGUGGCAUGUUAAAUAUCCCAAUAAGUAAAAUAAUGCUUCACCCUGGGGAAUGAAAAGUUCUGCUGCACUGUAAACCGAGUCCAAAGCCAGUUUUGUAUUUUGCUGCACUUUGAAUAUGGUUCCUUACAAUAUCGUGACUUUUACAAAAAACAACACAAACACAAAUAUAGAAGAGGAGUUGAUGAUUUAACUACUUCCACCUACUU